rnacentral:rRNA from 1 species
AAUAGAUACCCGGGUAGUCCACGCCGUAAACGUUGGGCGCUAGAUGUGGGGGACCUUUCCACGGUUUCCGUGUCGUAGCUAACGCAUUAAGCGCCCCGCCUGGGGAGUACGGCCGCAAGGCUAAAACUCAAAGGAAUUGACGGGGGGCCCGCACAAGCGGCGGAGCAUGCGGAUUAAUUCGAUGCAACGCGAAGAACCUUACCAAGGCUUGACAUACACGAGAACGGGCCAGAAAUGGUCAACUCUUUGGACACUCGUGAACAGGUGGUGCAUGGUUGUCGUCAGCUCGUGUCGUGAGAUGUUGGGUUAAGUCCCGCAACGAGCGCAACCCUCGUCGCAUGUUGCCAGCACGUUUAUGGUGGGGACUCAUGUGAGACUGCCGGGGUCAACUCGGAGGAAGGUGGGGAUGACGUCAAAUCAUCAUGCCCCUUAUGUCUUGGGCUUCACGCAUGCUACAAUGGCCGGUACAAAGGGCUGCGAUGUCGUAAGGCGGAGCGAAUCCCAAAAAGCCGGUCUCAGUUCGGAUUGAGGUCUGCAACUCG